GACGAACGCUGGCGGCGUGCUUAACACAUGCCAGUCGAACGGAAAGGCCCUGCUUUUGUGGGGUUCUCGAGUGGCGAACGGGUGAGUAACACGUGAGUAACCUGCCCUUGACUUUGUGAUAUCUUCAGGAAACUGGGGCUAAUACCGUAUAGCAUCUCCUGCUGCAUGGUGGGGGUUGGAAAGUUUCGGCGGUUGGGGAUGGACUCGCGGCUUAUCAGCUUGUUGGUGGAGUAGUGGCUUACCAAGGCUUUGACGGGUAGCCGGCAUGAGAGGGUGACCGGCGAAAAUGGGACUGAGAGAGGGAGCAGACGGCAACGGGAGGCAGCAGUGGGGAAUAUUGCACAAGGGGCGGAAGCCGGAUGAAGCAACGCCGCGUGCGGGAUGACGGCCUUGGGGUUGUAAACCGCUUUCGAAUGUGACGAAGCGUGAGUGACGGUAAUGGGUAAAGAAGCACCGGCUAACUACGUG
rnacentral:rRNA from 1 species